CUUCUCAGCAUAAGUACCCUAAAGUCACCAGGUCCUUUCUGAUCUUGGAAGCUAAGCAUGGUUAGUACUGGUUAGUCCUUGAAUGAGAGACCACCAAUGAAUUUAUAUGCUGUUGGCC
rnacentral:rRNA from 11 species